rfam:Brachypodium distachyon strain Bd21 chromosome 2, whole genome shotgun sequence.
UACGGUCGGGUGAUGAUCACAAGUGCAUAGUUCAAAUGAUUAAUCUGUGAUUACUUGAACAAAUAGUCUUUCGCUACUUACUGACGGCCUAU